rnacentral:tRNA from 1 species
GGAAGCGUGCCUGAAAGAUAAGGAUUUCCUUGAUAUGGAAAAUAAUAGGGGUUCAAACCCCCUCACUUCCC